GCGGGGAUGGUGGAACUGGCAGACACGUAGGAUUUAGGUUCCUAUUCGAAAGAGUGAGGGUUCAAGUCCCUUUCCCCGCA
rnacentral:tRNA from 1 species